rnacentral:lncRNA from 1 species
GCAGUGAUGCCCUCCCGUGUGCCUGUGUGUGCGUGUGUGCGCGCGUGUUUGAAUCCAUCUAAUCGAGGAGCCUCACAGAUACCAUCGUGGAUGUGGCCUUUAAUGAUCUGGAGGAGAGAAAAAAAAAAAAAAAAAGGCAGCCCGUGGAGACGGCCGCACGUUUAGGUGAUUGCCAAUUCGAAAUACUUUGGUUUGUGAAGCCCGGCCCUGAGGGACCAGCUCGGUAACUGAGAAAGAGAUCGUAGAUAAAGAAAUAAAAAUGACAAGCGUAAUAAUGCAGGCUCUGCGAGAAGGCUGUCAGAGCGUGAGUUCAUGGAUGGCAAUUUCACCAGGCUGAGACUGAAUAAUUCAUAGAUUGAAAUUACCCUGCUUUUCACCUUUCCAUUUAAGCCGGCAUGAUCUGAAUCUCUAAUAAAUGUUCGAGAUAAAGUAAAA